rnacentral:rRNA from 1 species
GAGGUAGUGACAAUAAAUCACAAUGCGGAACUUUUAGUUUUGCAAUUGGAUUGAGAACAAUGUACAAAUGUUAUCGAUAAACAAUUGGAGGGCAAGUCUGGUGCCAGCAGCCGCGGUAAUUCCAGCUCCAAUAGCGUAUAUUAACGUUGUUGCAGUUAAAAAGCUCGUAGUUGAAAUGUGGGAUGAAGUAUAUAAUGAAUUUCUAAUUCAAUUCUAUAUUGAUUCCCCUCUCCAAUUUAUUAUUAUGGGUAUUAAUUUAUUUGUAAUAAGAAUUGGUCAUUUACUGUGAGAAAAUUAGAGUGUUCAAAGCAGGCAUUUGCUUGAAUAGAUUAGCAUGGAAUAAUACUAAAAGGCUUUUAUGGUCGAUUUAAUUGGUUUGUUCAUAAAAGCAAGAUUAAAAGGAACAGUUGGGGGUAUUCAUAUUCAAUAGUUAGAGGUGAAAUUCUCGGAUUUAUGGAAGAUGAACAAGUGCGAAAGCA